rnacentral:rRNA from 1 species
GAUGAACGCUAGCGGCAGGCUUAACACAUGCAAGUCGAGGGGUAUAGGAAGCUUGCUUCCUAGAGACCGGCGCACGGGUGCGUAACGCGUAUGCAACCUACCUUUUACAGAGGGAUAGCCCAGAGAAAUUUGGAUUAAUACCUCAUAGUAUAUGUUUUUCGCAUGUUAGACAUAUUAAAGUAACAACGGUAAAAGAUGGGCAUGCGUCCUAUUAGCUAGAUGGUAAGGUAACGGCUUACCAUGGCAACGAUAGGUAGGGGUCCUGAGAGGGAGAUCCCCCACACUGGUACUGAGACACGGCCCAGACUCCUACGGGAGGCAGCAGUGAGGAAUAUUGGACAAUGGGCGCAAGCCUGAUCCAGCCAUGCCGCGUGCAGGAAGAAGCAUCUAUGGUGUGUAAACUGCUUUUGUACGGGAAGAAACACUCCCUCGUGAGGGAGCUUGACGGUACCGUAAGAAUAAGGAUCGGCUAACUCCGUGCCAGCCGCCGCCGUAAAAC